AAGUUUUAAGAACUCCCUCCCACCCCCAGAUUUUCACACCUCAACUUUCCACAGGUGCUUUAAAAUCAUUGCUCACUCAUCCCUUCUCUGAAUUAGGAUUUGAGCAUCUUUCUGUGACGAUGCUGCCCCACUCCUAUUGUGAUACUCCUCUUCUUAAGAAAGUUUUUCUGGAUGAAUGUCCAGAUUAAACUUCUUUUCUUCGACAGUAACGAUGCCAUGACUUGAACAAAAUGCCAACUGCCCGUGGCUCCUGCUUUCCUCACCCAGUGCCGCCUUAGUGGACUCCUCAUGCCUUUCCUUGGCUGGGGAAAUCAGAAUCCACAGUGGCAUCCCACUUUUAAGAUGCCUGAUCUGAAGGGCACUAAAACAACUGACCUUUGCCAGCAUGCCCCACAGAUGGUUCAGCUAGUCCUCCAGAAACAACACUGAAGCUUCAGCUGAGAAUUUAGAAGAGAGUAGAUGGAAAAUAUUUUUCCCUCCUGUCCAAAUGCAAGGAUAAUCUUACAUGAGUCCAGGAGGAAGCACUCUAAAAUGGAAGAAUGAUGUUGCUACUGCUUUUUAGAAAAUACUGUCAAAAAGUGGUUUUCUAGACUGCUGGCUAGUGGACCUACCAGUAGCAUCAUCUCAGCCGACUUGACCAUAUUACCUCAGUAUAACUGAGCUGUGAAGGCCAUUUCAACUGCCAACACCAGGACGCAGGACUUCCGCUGGCCUAAUGUUCUGAGACGCUGCCACCUUGUGGCGCUCUGCAGCGACACUUACAUCAGCAGCCUUAAAACAGGUAUAUCUCAGAUGGCCUUAGCUUUUCCUUGUUGUAUAUAUUCUGAUAUAUCUGGAACAUAAAUAUUUACAAGGAAAAGAGAGUUCUGGAUGCUCCAUGAAGAGAGUGCUACAGAUGCAGACAUGAACAGCAGGUAUGGUGUGGAGUUUACAUAAACAGGGUUGACUUAUCCCUGUUGAAUUGCAAGUGACAGAGGCCAUAAGAGGACAAGGUACUAAAGGACAAAGAACUGGUUAUGUCAAAUCGGCUUGUAAUGGAAGCCAUCAUCCUCAGCAAACUAACACAGGAACAGAAAACCAAACCCCACAUGCUCUCACUCAUAAGUGGGAGCUGAACAUUGAGAACACAUGGACACAGGGAGGGGGACACCACACACAAGGGCCUCUCAGGGAGAUUGGGGGAGGGAGAGCACCAGGAAAAAUAGCUUACGCAUGCAUGGCUUAACACCUAGAUGAUGGGUGGACAGGUGUAACAAACCAUCAUGGCACAUAUUUGCCUUUAUAACAAACCUGCACCUUCUGCACGUGUACCCCAGAAUUUAAAAUAAAUGUUUUUGAAAUCCACUUAGAAGUCUUUACUUCCAUGAAAAAAAUAUAUAUAUAUAAACAAUAAUACAGGUCUCAUUCCCAUUUUUUAGGAGGACAGCCAGAGGCCCCAGGAAUUAAUUGUCUUAGUCAAAGCCAUACGGCAAACUGCUAGAUAAAGUCAAAUAGAAAACCAAUGUUUUAAACCAGUAUCUUGAGAAAAUAAAAUUCCUUUCCAUACUAAGAGGAAAAAUUCAGGAACAAAUGUCAGAUUUCAAGACUGGACUUAUACGUGUGUAUAUGGAAAACAAGAUACCCAAUACAUGUAUACACAAGUGUAUCCAUUUUUAACUUGAUAAUGAGGACAAAUUGGCUGAGAGAAAUUUUUACUUCAUGAAAAAUUGCACUUUGUGAUAAUGUUAAAGAAAUACAUUUUCUUCAAAGACACAAACUAAUUUAGACAAAUAUCUUAAUUUCCAACUCUUGCCAAGUUGGCUCUAAUAAAUAGAUUAGACUCACUGGUAAAGGCACCUGGAGUCUAAAUAUCAUGUAUGAAUUACAUUAUUCACAUAUAUCUGCUUUUUCAACUGGACUAAAUGUGUGAUAAGUCAUAACUGGGGCCAGAUAGACCUGGAUUUGUGUGCCAACUUUGCCACUACAUGCUGUGAAGUCUUACAGAAUUUACUUAAACUCCCUAAGCUUUGAUUUCCUCAUCUACAAGGAAGGCUAAUAAUGAAAACUCACUCAUAAUUUUUAUUGCUGUUAAAUGAAAAAAUGUACCCAGACAGAGGUUCUAAAACAUCAAAAUAUUAAUUUAAUGAGUGGAGAUUAGUUUUCUUAACUGCACUACAAUUUUCUUUACAUGUUCAGCUUAUUGAUCAAAUUGCUUAUCAGUGUGAGUGAUCAGUGGGCCACAAAUUAUUUUGGUACCACACCACUCUAGAUGUGAAGGAUUUUAUCAAGGUGUAAAAAAUCAGACUAUGCACACCUCAGAAAAAAAAAAGUAUAUAAAGGAUCUUUUAGUCAGCUAAGAGGAGUUGGGAACAUUGCGGAAUGGACCAGUGUAUUCACCACACAGUGAGUUAUAUUUGGGCACCAUUUUAGGGUGUAAUUUAUUGGACUAAAGGUUUAGACAAUAGCUCUGUACUCUGCUAUCAAGAAGGCUCUGACCUUUGAUUCUUACUUCACUGAGUGAUGAGCCAGCUGCGGUCUACAAAGCCAAAUCUUGAUGUAACAGAGCUGGGCUUCAAUGAUGACAGGUCAUGCAUUCAAAUAUCCAUGUUCAAGAGAAGUCCAGGGUAGAAAGAUCACUUGAGGCCAAGAUUCAAGACUGACUUGAGCAGUAUAGUGAGACCCUGUCUCCACACAGACACACACACACACACACACAUACACACACACACACACACACACACACACACUGUUAAAGAAUGUGACUUCAGAAGCUGAGAUACAAAAAUUUCCUCCCCAAAAAGUCUCCAAGCCAGACACCCGGCAUGGAACAGAAAUUUCUCCUGCAACUAGGAAAACUUCCUAAGGGCUUUACCCCAGAAAAUGAAUGCAUGUAUUCAUCUUGUUUCUUUUUGUUUUCCUGCAGUACUACUAGAAGGAAGUGUGGUGUUCCUGCAAUGAAUGAGCACAAGAUUUAAAGAAAUUAUUGUGGUGCAAGUGCUAUCUGUAUUUAUAUAACUCUUGGGAAUGGAGGACUAGAAAUAGAUGAGCAGAGCCUGAAAAAUGAAAUUGUUACCUGUUUUAACAACAGAAUCUGUAUUAGUGUGUUCUUGUAUUCCUGUAAAGAAAUACCUGAAACUGGGUAAUUUAUAAAGAAAAGAGAUUUAAUUAGCUUAUGGUUCUGAAGGCUGUACAGGAAGCAUGAUGCUGGCAUCUCCUUUGCUUCUAGGGAGUUGCAGCAAACUUACAAUCAUGGCAGAAGGUGAAGUGGAAGUAGGCAUGUCACGUGACUGAAAUAGGAGCAAGAGAGAGAGGGAGGGAGGUGCUAUACUCUUUCAAACAACCAGAUCUCAUGAGAACACACUUUCAUGAUGACAGCACCAAGAGGGAAAUCCAUACCCAUGAUCCAAUCACCUCCCACCCAGCCCCAUCUCCAACAUUGGGGCUUAUAUUUUGACAUGAGAUUGGAGGGGAACAAUACCUAUACUAUGUCAGUUUCAUCCAGGUGGCUCAGGCCUGUAAUUCUGGCACUUUGGGAGGACACAGCCAAAGGAUCACUUGAGACCAGGAGUUCAAGGCUGCAGUGAGCUAUGAUAUCACACCACUGCACUCCAGACUGGCAACAGAGUGAGACCCUUUCUCCAAAAAAAAAAUAAAAUAGUAAAAGCUAUUUGUCUUAAAACAUGUAUCAGAUUAUAUAAAGAAGAUAAGAUAUUACUAUAGCAGAUCAAGAAAUAUCAACAUCAAUAGUAAUGGUGAUGCUUAACUAGGCUUGUGUUCUAAACUGUCAGUGAAUAACUAUCCACAGGUGUGGCUGGAGGGACACAAGAUAACCACUUUAACCUUAAAGGAUUUUCCCUACCAGGAUUCUAUAGAGCUUGAAAUUCUUUUUUUUUUUUUUUUCCAGUUUAGACUGUCCCCAAAAGCAUUCCAUUAAAAAGCACAUGUGCUUCCUUGGAAUAAUAUUAGGAAAGCUAUUUGGCCUGGAUUACUUUAUCAUGCAGAGAAAAAACUUGAAGUAGAAAGAAAGAGUUGAGGAAAGUAGGAAGAAAGGGAGAUAGAGAAGCAGGCUCCCCGUCUCUCUCCACUCAGUUUCUAGAUCUGCACUGUACAACAUAGUGACCUCUAUUCAUACGGCUAUUUAAACUUAAAUUUACAUUAAGUAAAAUUAAACAUUCAGCUCCUCUGUCACUUUAGGCAUAUGUCAAAUGCUCAAUAGUCACAUGAGGCUAGUAGCUACAAUACUGGUUGGUGCAGACACAGAAUAUUUCCAUCAAAGUUCUACUGGACAGUAUUGCCCUCAUAAGUGACUCUCUUUGAAGAAACACACCAUAUACUUCAGAAGUGCUGGGCUUAAAAAAAGAGUGAAGCCCAUUGUGCUAGAGAGAGAGAGCUGUAGUAUCUUGCAGGCUUUUAAAACUGUGACAUAUAAAGAACUAAAGAGCAGGGUUUUGUUGCGCAAUAAGCUACAUAGAUAAAGAGCAAAAUGGGUCACAGAGAAAAAGAUUCAGACAGAACAAGCCAGCAGCCUCUUCCUUAGCAACCCAAAAUGAAACUGUUCACCAGUGGGCACUAAAUGAAAAGCAAUUGUUAAACACAUUUUGUUCUGUAGAGCUAUUGACUAUAACCAUGUGUUGCACACCUUGUAAAGUUCUCAUGGCAGAGUGGGAUCAGUGUCUCACAAAUUUCCUUUGUCAUCUUUAUUCUUUCGCUUGAUGGUGUCCUAAAUUCCUACAGGCUUUCUCCACUCUUUUUUCUUUUCCUCUUUGUUCCUCUGACCGGGUAAUUUCAAAUGACCUGCCUUUGAGUUCAUUGAUUCUCUCUUCUGCUUGAUUGAGUCUACUGUUGAAGCUCUCUAUGGAAUUUUUUGGCCCUUUGUCAUCUUUAUAAGUUCCAGCUGGUAGAAACCUUCCAUGUAUUUUAUAAAGAGGGAACUCACUACCUGAUCAUAAGAAUUAUAUGAGCAUCAAGAUUAUAGAAGUUAGUUGUUGUUGUUGUUUUUAAUGUAAUCCAAAUUUAAAACAACAUCUAUAUAACUCAGAAGCCCAUAUUUUUAAACUAUACCAUUUUAUCUCUAUAAGGAAGAAAAAAUAUUAUGAAGGGGUUGUUUUAGCCAGAAAUAUGUUCAGAGAAGGAUGUCAUGCUGUUACACGGGAGAACACAUGGCCUGAUCGUAGUUAACAAUAGGGUUAGGAUAUUUAUGGUUUAUCUGAAUCUCAAUACCCACUUCUAUAAGGUGAAGUAUUCAGACAAAAUGAUCUUAGGCCGCUUUCACUCUUACAUAAUUGUGUAAUACCCUAGGUUUCUGUGAAGAACUCAAUAUGAAGCCUCUGUAAGUGAGUACUACUUUAUUAUCUAGCAAAAAUAUUUCUAUCGGUACAUAUUAUUUUAGUGUUAAGAAAGGACAUCAGUGCACAUUAGCUGGCCACAAAAUGGAUAGUUAAGAAAUUGACUCUCUCGCCAAUUUUUCCAGUGCAUUGAAUGCUAAAAGAUAUUUUUUUAAUUAAAAAUAAAUUACUAGAGAAAAAGAACUAUAGUCAAAUUUUUGCCAGAUUCAUCACCAGAAUAAUUUUUGCAUAUGUAUGUCAUCGCAUUUGCAUUGUUUUUGCCCUUCCCUUCCCCCAAGCUAAACAUGUUUAUGCUUGAAGCUGUUUUGUGAAUCCCAAGAAAGCAUUUGCAGAAAAUUAAAAAUCUCUGCCAAAAACUAUAACCAUCUCUGAGCUUGGUUAUAAAGUUGAAUUGGAAAACUGAUAUUAAGUAUGUAUCUUCAUUACAUUUUGAAAGCAUGAAUAAUAUAUGUAAUCAUCCAAAGACUGAGCUGUAAAUGUUGCUGCAUUAUUCAAACAUAAAUGGAAGUGCACUGUAUUAUCAAUUAGUGUCCAGUUUCUUUGGUAGAACAAGAGAAAAAAAAUCUGUUGAACCUCAGCUGGUGAUUUACAUUCUCAAACAUGUUUAUUCACAAUCCUAAAAAGCACGUUAGUAACAAAGCAGUUGCCAAGACAACUUAUCCCUGGAUUUAGUAUUAUUGCAUCAGGAAAAAUGCCUACGCGGAAUUUAAUUAGCUAACGCCUCAUCCUCCUUGGCCAAAAAAGGAUGGAUUUUCUUUCAACCCAAAGUCCCUAAAGACUGAGAUUCAAUGGAAUCAAGGUACACAGACACACAAGAUAGACUCACAUACACACACACACACUCACAAAUGCUGGGUGAUUGUACAGCCAUGAGGCUAGUUUCCAUCCAGGUAGGGAUUCUAUAAAAUCUACCUCAGUAGUUCCUAUAUGUUUAUUGAGUGAGUGUGAAUAAACAUGUAGCUAGGGUUUUCCAUGUACGUAUAUAUGUAUAUGUAUGUAUAUAUAAAAAAUAUACACACAUAUACAUACAUAUACGUACAUAAUUACAUACAAUUAUUUAUAAUGUACGUACAUACACAUAUUAUUUAUUUAUUUCUCUCUUCUCAAUAAAAAAUAGGCUUACCUCAUUUGUUUUGCAUCUCUCAGGAGUUAUUGCCUUCUGUUGUCUGAUAUUUAAUGUUUUAAAAAUCAUUGUGUCAUGUGUUUUAUAUAGUGUUUAGUUAUGUAGCGUUUUUAUCAACAGUUUAUGAGAAAGUUAAUUGAAACAAAAAACUAGCACCAAAGGAAAGAUACCUCGGUUAUAAAAUUGAUAGGUAUUUUAGAAUUAUUAAGACUAUAAUUCAUAAUUGGUUCUGAGUAUCGAUCUAACCACAGCAACAAUGGAAAUAGAACAAAUCGCACAGCUUGCAUUAUUCUCCCAAAAGAAAUGCUUCUACUAUUCCAAAUUCUAAAAGAAAACAUGACUUGGGGGAAGAGGGUGCUUGAAAACCACGUAUUUUUUUUACUAGCAUUACAAAAUUCCUAAUAUAAGUGUGAUACUUUUUUCUUCAUUUUCUGUGCAUGCUUUUAUCUCAUUUAAUCCUCACCACUCACCACUAACAUCCAGUAUCUACACAGUUAGUAGAAAGUGCUGUUCAAAUUUUAAGAAUAUUAAUUAUUAUAUACUUGGAUUUUACAUUCUCCUUUCCCACCUGCUGCUCGUAUUUCAUGUUUAUAUGCUAUUAAUAAUGACAUUUAUUUCGAUUUCUAAAUAUUUAUUGCUAAGAUAUUUAAAUACAAUUGAAUUUUGUAUGUUAAUCUUCCAUCUUGCAACUUUGCUAAACCUGAUUAUUAGUUCGAAUAACUCUUAUAUAAACUCCAUGGGAUUAUCUACUUAGAAAAUGAGGUCACCUGCAAGUAAAGACAAAUUUACUUCACCAUUUUCAAUCUGGAUGCAUUUUUUUUUUCUUUUUCUUACCUAAUUGCACUAGUUAGAAUGUCCAGCACAACAUCGAAUAGAAAGGAUGAGAGCAGAUAAUCCUUUCUUGUUUCUGAUUUUAAAGAAACAUAAUUUUUCCAUUUUAAGUAUAACAUUAGCUAUAAAUUAUCAUAAAUAUCUUUUAAUAAGUUGAGUGUGUUUUCUUUUUUAUUCUGGUUUGCUGAGAGUUUUAAUCAAAAGUUGAUGUUGUCUUUUUUCUUGUCAUCGUGUAGUUUUCUACGUGCGUGCAACUAACUGAUCGGUACUCAGAUGAAGACUAGGGGAAGAACUCUGCAGUUUUUCAGACUCUUUUCUGUGCACUGCUUUCUCUUCUCUGGUACUUCAUCCUGUAAACUCUAGCUACUUUGGCUUCCUUGGAUUCCCAAGUCAAUUUCCCCAGUCCACGGAGACCACCAGGCUCAAUCUAGAUCCCUCCCACCAACACUACAACCUGGAAAUUCUCUCAAAGCAGUUACCUGAAAUAAUUGCAGGGCUCACCUCAUUUGUUUUGUAUCUCCCAGGAGUUAUUGCCUUCUGUUUGUCUGAUACUUAAUGUUUUAAAAAUCAUUGUGCCAUGUGUUUUGUCUAGUUUUUAGUUUCUGUAGGAGAGUAAACAUAGUUUCUGCUAUUCUAUCUUGGUUGGAAGCAGCAAUCUCUUCUGGACAAUUUUUAUAAAUGCACACUCCUAGGGCUUACUUCAUGCCUAAAUUGUGGGCUAAUCAUUCUUGAGAAUCUUUAUAUUUUCAAAACUCCCCACUGAAUUUAUUAACAAUUCUGGCUUGUGAAGUACAGAUUUAUCUCCUAUCUUAAAUCUAACAAAAUAUGAGGUCUGUGGGGUGAGUUUAGAACAUGACAAGGAUUACGGACCUAGUUUCUAUGACCCUGUAGCCACAACUUUUUCCACUCUCUCCCAUAUGUACAGCCAGUGUUUCUGCUACAUUAAAGCCAAUGCUGAGAAGCCUAAUUUUCUAUACAUUUCAUUAAUUAUUAAUCACCUAAAUAUUAGAAAGACCAACUAUAACAGAAAUUGGGAUACUAAGUCGAAGUUGCAGACUUCUCGCCCUGUUGUAAAUAUCACAUACUUGUACCAGAGGACAAAGGAACAAUGAUAGUUCUAUUACAUGUGUAAGAUGUGAUCAUCAUCCUAAAGAGAAAGCCAUCAAAGCUUUGAUGCAGUGAUUAUCCACCAAGAUUGAUAUCCUCCCUUUGCUCUCUAAGUGUUACUGGAUACCUUUCCAAGGUAGCACCAGCUCAGUAAUGGUGUUUCCCAGUGGUGUUGGAUAGUCUUAGAAAUGCUUUAAAACACAGUUAAGUAAUCACCUUCUCCAUAUUGUCUCACAAAAUUCUGGGCAACGUUAAUUGCUCCCACUCCCGAGUGUUUAUUGCGCAGGGCAUGUAGCAUUAUUUAGCCUUCUUCAUAAUGUACAGAGAAUUUGUACUUGUAUGAAUAAUACUUGUGUCAGUAUACAAGUAAAUUUUUCUAUUUCAUGAAAAUUAUUGAUUUGGUAAUCCAUUUCUCCUUUUCAGUUAUUCUAGAAAUGUUCAGAAAAUUAGAAGAUAAGAUAAUAUAUAUUAUAUAAUGUGAAUGUAUAAUUAAGAAUAAAUUUUGAUGAUAUAAUUUAACUGUGUAUAAUAUGAAUAUAGAUUUAUUUCUUCUUCUCUGGCAUUCUGCCUGGGAAUAUGUGAAAAACAUAUAACUGGUUUAUAUUAAAUUUAAUUAAUAUUAAACAACAUUAAGUUGGCAAGUUCCCUGUCUCCUGUACUGCCAAAUUUCUGAUCUCAUGGGUAUCUAAACUGGCUUACAAUGACUAAAUAUGUAGAUAAUUGUUUCCACUUGGAAUUAUUUUAUACAACGCACACUCUGACACUACAGCUACAAUCCUCCAAGGUUCUUCAAGUUCCCUCUGACACCACUGAUUUUUAGGAAGUUAAGGAAAAUAACCCUUGGCAGGGCUUAAUACCCCCACAGAAAUGUUGAACUUAAAACAAAAUUUUAUUCCUUUGUUCUUCCGAUCAUCUUCUAAAUUAUUCAUAGCCUGUCAAACUUAAUUUCUAAACAAAAUAGUGAAGUUUUGUUAUCAUUCAGCAGUUUGAUUUUAAGCAUCAGUGCUAUAUUUUACCUAUAAGCUUUGACUGACUCUGCAGAUUAAAAAAGAUAGGUGGGCUAUGUGUACACGUACAGCCUAAACUGUGACUGUCUUACCAAUCUCAGUAAGGACCUUGAUCAUGUACAAACCCAGCUGACAAUGAACUCAAGCUCCUGCAACUGAGGUUCAUGAACAUAUUUUCUCUGAAAAUGGCUUUCUAAUGGUAUAUU